rnacentral:rRNA from 1 species
UCUGGUGGGUAGUUUGACUGGGGCGGUCUCCUCCUAAAGAGUAACGGAGGAGCACGAAGGUUGGCUAAUCCUGGUCGGACAUCAGGAGGUUAGUGCAAUGGCAUAAGCCAGCUUGACUGCGAGCGUGACGGCGCGAGCAGGUGCGAAAGCAGGUCAUAGUGAUCCGGUGGUUCUGAAUGGAAGGGCCAUCGCUCAACGGAUAAAAGGUACUCCGGGGAUAACAGGCUGAUACCGCCCAAGAGUUCAUAUCGACGGCGGUGUUUGGCACCUCGAUGUCGGCUCAUCACAUCCUGGGGCUGAAGUAGGUCCCAAGGGUAUGGCUGUUCGCCAUUUAAAGUGGUACGCGAGCUGGGUUUAGAACGUCGUGAGACAGUUCGGUCCCUAUCUGCCGUGGGCGCUGGAGAACUGAGGGGGGCUGCUCCUAGUACGAGAGGACCGGAGUGGACGCAUCACUGGUGUUCGGGUUGUCAUGCCAAUGGCACUGCCCGGUAGCUAAAUGCGGAAGAGAUAAGUGCUGAAAGCAUCUAAGCACGAAACUUGCCCCGAGAUGAGUUCUCCCUGAGACUUUAAGUCUCCUGAAGGAACGUUGAAGACGACGACGUUGAUAGGCCGGGUGUGUAAGCGCAGCGAUGCGUUGAGCUAACCGGUACUAAUGAACCGUGAGG